rnacentral:lncRNA from 1 species
AACUAGGACAACUAAUAUGCUUCAAACUUCCAAUGAUAAUGUAUAGACAAGAAGACAGCUCUGUUCUCUAGGCUGUGCUUUUAGUGCCAACUUUCUUAAUAACAUCACCUAUUCUGCUGACGCUCACUCUGGAGGAAAUAAAACGUUAGAGCUCCUGGCUAAACAGGAUCUGAAAGGAAGGUUGGAAUCCAGUGGCAGUAUCAUGGCUCACUGCAACCUCAACCUGCCAGUCUCAUGCCAUCCAACCACCUCAGUCUCCCUAGUAGCUGGCACUACAGGUAUAUGCCACCAUGCCCAGGGUUUUACUCCUGGGUCUGAAAAAGUCAUCAAAUCUUGCUAAUUCUUAGACAUAGACAUCAGUCAAAGCCUCAUCUGCAGACCUAGGAGAAGGUGAUAAUAAAAAUGAGCUGCUUUUGUGAGACACGGGGCCAGAAAUUAAAACUGUUCAAUUGCUCUAGGCCCAAGCACUAUUUCAGAAGAGGCUGGAGUGAAGUGACUCAAUCUCGGCUCCCUGCAACCUCCACCUCAAGGAUUGAAGCAAUUCUCAUGCCUCAGACUCCCCAGUAGCUGGGAUUACAGGUCAAAAACUACUAUCUCAAUGAGUGGGAAGUCAGAUGAUUAAUGUCUGCUGUUUACACAGAAACUUGCAGAGAUUUACAGCAAGAGCAUAAUUAUAUCAAGAUGACAAUAACAACAAUGUUUAACAUCUAGAAGCCACUUCCAACAAAACCAUGUGGAAGGCGGGAGCAAAUUGCAUAGAUGU